GGAUGUGAAGGGCAUCUGGCUAUGACAUCUGUCUCCCCACUGAUCGCCAGGGUUGAUUCGGCUAAUCCAGCUGGCUAGGUGGGUGCUCCCUUCCUCCCUCCCUGCUCCAUGUGCGCCCCCACCAAAGCUGCACGUUUGUGCUCCUUGGAAGGGAACGACUUUCCCGAUAGAGAAGAGGGACCAUUCUUCCAUCAAGGGUAUAUGAGCAGCUAUGCUCCCUUGCUAGAACCUCCAAAUAAGCUCUCAAGGGUCAUUUGUAGGAGAACACAGGGUGGUUAAGACUCCAGACACAUCCAAAUGGGGGGAGGGGAGGGCAAGUUAAAAUUAGAUUUCAUUUUU
rnacentral:snRNA from 1 species